AGGACGAACGCUGGCGGCGUGCUUAACACAUGCAAGUCGAGCGGAAAGGCCCUUCGGGGUACUCGAGCGGCGAACGGGUGAGUAACACGUGAGUAAUCUGCCCCUAGCUCUGGGAUAGCUCCGGGAAAACCGGGAUUAAUACCAGAUACGACCACUUUAGACAUCUGUUGUGGUGGAAAGAAUUUUGGCUAGGGAUGAGCUCGCGGCCUAUCAGCUUGUUGGUGAGGUAACGGCUCACCAAGGCGACGACGGGUAGCCGGCCUGAGAGGGCGACCGGCCACACUGGGACUGAGACACGGCCCAGACUCCUACGGGAGGCAGCAGUGGGGAAUAUUGCGCAAUGGGCGAAAGCCUGACGCAGCGACGCCGCGUGGGGGAUGAAGGCCUUCGGGUUGUAAACCCUUUCAGCAGGGACGAAGCGAAAGUGACGGUACCUGCAGAAGAAGCGCCGGCUAACUACGCGCCAGCAGCCGC
rnacentral:rRNA from 1 species